rnacentral:lncRNA from 1 species
AAGAGAAAGCACAGGUAGCAGGGGCAUCAAUGGAAGACCUGCUGAGUAAAGCAAAAGACUUCAGAUCAGGACUAUCUUGGGAAAAAUUCAGUUCCCAAAUAGCCACUGCAGUUCAAAAGGCUCCAAAUGAGGAGAAGCCUAAAGUCCAGGUAGCCACAGUGAGGGGAGAAGCCAAGGCUAGAAAUCUACCGUCACAGAAAGCCAAUGUGAAGCAAGCUCCAAUAUCGUUUUCCCCAUUGCCAAAGCAAAAGGAAGCAUCGAAGCCAAAACCAAAACCAAAAGCAAAAGAGGCAGAGAAAACAGAAGUGAG